GGGCUCGCUUUGGCAGCACAUAAACUAAAGUUGGAACCAGACAGAGAAGAUUAUCAUGGCCUCUGUCUAAGGAUGACGUGCAAGUUUGCGAAGCGUUUCGUAUUUUA
ensembl:snRNA LOC120095360 U6 spliceosomal RNA